rnacentral:rRNA from 1 species
GAUGAACGCUGGCUACAGGCUUAACACAUGCAAGUCGAGGGGAAACGACAGGGAAGCUUGCUUCCUUGGGCGUCGACCGGCGCACGGGUGAGUAACGCGUAUCCAACCUGCCUCUGACUGAGGGAUAACCCGUCGAAAGUCGGCCUAAUACCUCAUGGCAUCGUCUGCGGGCAUCCAACGACGAUUAAAGAUUUCAUCGGUCAGGGAUGGGGAUGCGUCUGAUUAGCUUGUUGGCGGGGUAACGGCCCACCAAGGCUACGAUCAGUAGGGGUUCUGAGAGGAAGGUCCCCCACAUUGGAACUGAGACACGGUCCAAACUCCUACGGGAGGCAGCAGUGAGGAAUAUUGGUCAAUGGGCGAGAGCCUGAACCAGCCAAGUAGCGUGCAGGAUGACGGCCCUAUGGGUUGUAAACUGCUCUUAUGCGGGGAUAAAGUGAGGGACGUGUCCUUCAUUGCAGGUACCGCAUGAAUAAGGACCGGCUAAUUCCGUGCCAGCAGCCGCGGUAAUACGGAAGGUCCGGGCGUUAUCCGGAUUUAUUGGGUUUAAAGGGAGCGUAGGCCGUGGAUUAAGCGUGUUGUGAAAUGCAGGUGCUCAACGUCUGCACUGCAGCGCGAACUGGUUCACUUGAGUGUGCGCAACGCAGGCGGAAUUCGUCGUGUAGCGGUGAAAUGCUUAGAUAUGACGAAGAACUCCGAUUGCGAAGGCAGCUUGCGGGAGCACAACUGACGCUGAAGCUCGAAAGUGCGGGUAUCGAACAGG